rnacentral:tRNA from 1 species
GGCGGAUGUAGCCAAAGGGG